rnacentral:rRNA from 1 species
CACGUAGGGUGCGAGCGUUGUCCGGAAUCAUUGGGCGUAAAGAGCGUGUAGGCGGCUUGGCAAGUCUGGUGUGAAAUCUUGCGGCUCAACCGCAAGCGGUCACUGGAAACUGCCUCGGCUAGAGUCCGGGAAGAGGAGAGCGGAAUUCCUGGUGUAGCGGUGGAAUGCGCAGAUAUCAGGAAGAACACCCGUGGCGAAGGCGGCUCUCUGGGACGGUACU